rnacentral:rRNA from 1 species
GCUAGCAUUGUCAGUUACUGACAUUGUGGCGGGAAAUUUAGUGAACCUUAUCACUUAGAGGAAGGAGAAGUCGUAACAAGGUUUCCGUAGGUGAACCUGCGGAAGGAUCAU